CAUGCACUUCCUUGAACUGUAUUGACACGCCUCCUCUCUGUGACUCAAGGUUUAUUUCAAGGUUCAACUGAAGGUUUGUUGGUAAAACAUCACUUUACGCUUCGAUCUUCGCAGUAAACGGCGUGUUAGAUGAUGGCAGGGGCCGCGAAGAAGUUUUAUGAUCUGUCCGCCAAACUUUUGACAGGGGAAAUCCUGAAUUUUUCGUCUCUCAAAGGUAAAGUGGUGCUUAUUGAAAAUGUGGCGUCGCUUUGAGGCACAACAGUCAGGGAUUACACCCAGAUGAACGAGCUCCACAGCCGCUACGCUGAUCAGGGGCUCGUGGUCCUGGGCGCUCCCUGCAACCAGUUCGGACAUCAGGAGAACACCAAGAAUGAUGAAAUUCUGCUGUCUCUGAAGUACGUCCGUCCUGGAAAUGGCUUCGAGCCAAAUUUCCAGCUUCUGGAGAAGCUGGAAGUGAACGGUGUGAACGCCCACCCUCUGUUUGUGUUCCUCAAGGAGAAGCUGCCUCAGCCCAGUGACGACUCCGUGUCCUUGAUGGGGGAUCCCAAAUUCAUCAUCUGGAGUCCGGUGAACAGGAAUGACAUCUCCUGGAACUUUGAGAAGUUCCUCAUCGGCCCGGACGGAGAACCGUUCAAGAGAUACAGCAGAAGGUUCCUCACCAUCGACAUUGAAGCAGAUAUCAAAGAGCUUCUGAAGAGGGCGAAAUAAACCUGGCAUUCUCCUGGUGUUGUGGCCAUGUGAGAUAGACCGUCCAUUUCAUAUCACUUGCAGUUGUUGUUUGAUAUAAGCCGACUGUGCAGACAUGAUUAAAGUGCGGCUAAUUUUUAAACUGUUUACUUAAUGAAGAUGCUUCCUAAAACCUUUCUGAGGGAAGCUUCUGAUGUAACUGUGAAUGUUUAUUAUAAUAGUUGUAAUUUGUCCAUGAAAUGCACAGCUCAGGAUUUAUCUUUCAACUGUUAACCGAAACGAUUAAAAAAAAAUAUUAAAAAAA